UGGGCUGGGAGUGAUAACGUUGUGAAGUGGAUGGAGCCAUCGUUGGGUGAGUGCUGGCUCUAUUUGCACUAAGAGUGGGUGUGCCGUGUCUGAAGUGGUGUGUUUGCACAAUAAAUCGUUUGAAGUGAAGUUACAGAGUGUGGGGAAGAUAUAUAGAGUUAAUGCCGGACGCUCACCACCCCGAGAGCCCACCACCGUCACCGUAAUCCACACCCAGGCACUCAACUGAAGUAUCCCCCAGCCGUAAGCCCCAUUUCUUAUUCAAGAACACAUACAUGCUGUUGAUUACUUACCCCGCUGUGUAGAUCGCAGGAUCCUCUGGGCCGAACGCCGCAUGUGAUGUCCCUAUGAAAAGAGGUGGACACAAGAAUUAUUCCUUUCCCGGUCUUAACCGAAGCAUCUCCCAGCCGUAAGCCCCAUUACUUAUGCGAGAACACAUACUUGCUGUUGAUUACUUACUCUGCUGUGCAGAUCGCAGGAUCCUCUGGGCCGAAUGCUGUAUGUGAUGUCCCUGUAGAAAGAGGUGGACACACGAAUUAUUCCUUUCCCGGUCUUAACCGAAGCAUCUCCCAGCCAUCACAGGAUUCUCUGGGCCGAAUGCUGCAUGUGAUGUCCCUGUAGAAGGAGGUGGACACGAGAAUUAUUCCUUUUCCCGGUCUCGACCGAAACAUCCACGAGCUCUACUUACCCGGAUACCCCCCCUCACUCCGGGACGGGUGACAGACUACCCUGGCUCUUGCUGGCCCCGUACAGGCACGAACUGCCGACGACUCCACGCCUUCCCGGCGUCCGAGGUCUGGCUCCGUUCUGGUCGGGAGACACGGAAGGAACACUGAACUUUUAAAUUGCUUUUAAUCAAAUAAAACCUUGUUCAUUUUUUAUACUCUCGUCCGUCUGGUUCUUCUGGUCCGCUCUCCGAGGUGAUCUUGGGUUUCAGGGGUGGGUGCAGUCU